GUGCUCGCUUUGGCAGCACAUACACUAAAAUUGGAAUGAUACAGAGAAGAUUAGCAUGGCCACUGCGAAAGGAUGACAAGCAAAUUUGUGAAGCGUGCCAUGUUUUU